rnacentral:rRNA from 1 species
UACGUAGGACCCCAAGCGUUAUCCGGAGUGACUGGGCGUAAAGAGUUGCGUAGGUGGCUUGUAAAGCAAAUAGUGAAAUCUGGGGCGUCAACCUCACAGGCUAUUAUUUGAACUCACAAGCUCGAGAACAGCAGAGGUAACUGGAAUUUCUGAAGUAGGGGUAAUAUCCGUAGAUAUCAGAAGGAACACCAAUGGCGUAGGCAGGUUACUGGGCUGUUUCUGACACUGAGGCACGAAAGCGUGGGGAGCGAACCGGAUUAGAUACCCUGGUAGUCCCUAGACUGCC